rnacentral:rRNA from 1 species
AAGUCCGACGAUACAGGGUGAUAGUCCCGUAGUUGACGACGUGUGUUCAGUGAAAUCGAGUAGGGCGGGACACGUGAUAUCCUGUCUGAAUAUGGGGGGACCAUCCUCCAAGGCUAAAUACUACUGACUGACCGAUAGUGAACCAGUACCGUGAGGGAAAGGCGAAAAGAACCCCUGUGAGGGGAGUGAAAUAGAACCUGAAACCGUGUACGUACAAGCAGUAGGAGCAGGCUUUGUCCUGUGACUGCGUACCUUUUGUAUAAUGGGUCAGCGACUUAUAUUCAGUGGCAAGGUUAACCAUCUAGGGGAGCCGUAGGGAAACCGAGUCUUAACUGGGCGUUCAGUCUCUGGAUAUAGACCCGAAACCAGGUGAUCUAGCCAUGGGCAGGUUGAAGGUUGAGUAACAUCAACUGGAGGACCGAACCGACUAAUGUUGAAAAAUUAGCGGAUGACUUGUGGCUAGGGGUGAAAGGCCAAUCAAACCUGGAGAUAGCUGGUUCUCCCCGAAAGCUAUUUAGGUAGCGCCUCGGACGAAUACUACUGGGGGUAGAGCACUGUUAAGGCUAGGGGGUCAUCCCGACUUACCAACCCUUUGCAAACUCCGAAUACCAGUAAGUACUAUCCGGGAGACACACGGCGGGUGCUAACGUCCGUCGUGGAGAGGGAAACAACCCAGACCGCCAGCUAAGGUCCCAAAUUACUACUAAGUGGGAAACGAUGUGGGAAGGCUCAGACAGCCAGGAUGUUGGCUUAGAAGCAGCCAUCAUUUAAAGAAAGCGUAAUAGCUCACUGGUCGAGUCGGCCUGCGCGGAAGAUGUAACGGGGCUAAGUAG